AGGAGCUUCAGUGCAGAAGUUGGAACCAGUCAAAGAUAGAGGCACGUAAGGUGCCACAGAUGAACGUUUUUAGCCACUGAAUUACUGGAAUGAGUCCAGAAGCAGGUGUUUGAUCUUUAGGCUGCUUGUAAAGCUGAAACUACCAAAAUGACCUGCCUAAUCAACAGGGAACACUAAGGACAGGAGCCUCUGAAGAAGCCCUUGCUGGCACGAAGGCAGGGGCUGCAGGACACCGACCCGUCCCUCCUCGCUCCUCACCUUCUGUCAGAGCACGCAGCCCUCUGUCUCCGCAGUACGUGACUUUCUUCUGCUGGAAAUGUGCUGGGAUUCCAGGAGAGCAUAAUCGAGCAAAAGUUCAUCCGUUGCAAGAGCUGCUAAAGGUAGGACGUUUUCAAGCUCUAUUUGUCUAUUAUCCCCCAAAGCUGCCAUUCUCCCUUGCUGUGUGCAGAGCUGUGAUAGCUGGUGGGUUCUGCACAGGCACAGGAGGUGGAGGCAGUACUGUUGGCACUGUGGCUACAGGCCUUGUGGAAAAAAUGUCCUGUUCCUGUAAUGUGCUUCCACGUUUCUGUGCACGCAGUGAACGCAGCGGGCUGAGUUUUAUCUCUAGUUUAAGUCUGCUGACGUGCAGUAAGCAAUCUGUGGUGUUCAGAAGGAGCCAUGUUUUGUCUUGUUUGUCCGCUCCGGCUUUGGAACAGAGUUGGUAUGGUUUGGGUACACUCAGGAGACUGUGGCUUUCCUAUGGACGUAUGCGCAGCGGUUGAACUACAAGUUGUGGAGGCACUGAGGCACUUACCAGGCAACAGCAUUAGAGCCGUAUGGAAAGGAGGAGGGAAAAAGAGGAAGAAAACAUCUCUAUGUGUGGAUGAGGGGGUUUCUCGUAGUUGGCUUUUCAGCCACCAUGGAAUGGCAGGGGAAAAAAACCAGCCUAAACCAGGUCCUUUCUUCCGUUCUCCCAGUCCUUUGGCCAACACCUGCCCAAACUUCGGCUUUGUUUGGUAUUAUUCCUUGUUGUGCACCGUUCCUAUAGGGCUGGGUUUAAGGAGAUUUCCAUAGGGUAGCAUUAGUGCCAUCAGUGGGAACACUGCAACUUCCCGCACGGCCCAUAGUGCGCGCUGUUCCCGGUGCACAAAGGUAAAAAAAUAAAAGCACUGCAGCCUCUCUGUGAGCUGCAAUGCCAGUGGCUCAUUUUCAAGAGUCUGUCUUGGAUCAAUCAUGGGCUGACAUGGUGGCUGCUACCAGCACGGCUGCCCUAUGGGACGGCUGCUGGUGGGGCACGGAGCAGGCGCGUCUGUGCUGUUUGCAGGCGCGGUGGGCAUCUUUUCGCGGUAUCACACACAAGCAGCAGGCAGUGCAUGUGCCGUGAGCUCUGCCAGCCCCUGCCAGGGCGUGCUGUGAGGCCACCUGUGGCGUGAGCGUGUUAUUGCUGCCCGACGGCACCCACACGUGGUGCUGCUGUGGCCGUGCGUGGUUUUCCUGCCACCUCGACGAGUGGUUUUCCUGCUGGGCAAACUUUCCAACGUGGAUAGAAACGAUAGAAAUGUAUGUUUGCACAUCGAAAUCGGCAAUUUAUUUGACAAACAGGCACGGAGGUGUCCAGUUAUCCCUUUUGCUUAUGCAAAUACGAGUUUUCCCAGGCACGACAGCUGUGCCAGCACAGUGAUUAUUUCCAUAAGGUUAUCAGAUUGUUAUCAGGAGGGGACGUGCCUUGUAAUAAUGCUCGGGAGCAGUUCUGGGGCAUGGCUGGUGCCGACGUGGGAAGCGUACGGACAGGCUCACAGCAGUUAGGCUCACAGCUGGAGCGGUGCAGAAGGUUGAGCACAGCACCUGGCGCCGGGGCUGGGGGAGGGGUUGCGACCGGCGGCCUCUCUGCGUCUGGAGCGAUUGAGGCCGGGAUGUGCACGAAGCCUUCCCGCCCUGCCCCUUUGAGCAGCGGAGCUCUGCCUGGCCCUGGCGAUACGGGAGACCCUUAAGGCACGGGUUGAAGCUCCAGGGCCUGGCAGGGGCCCGGCCGUGCGGCAGCACUUUGUGCCUCACCUGGGGUGGGUUGGUGGAAGCUGCGCUCCUACCAGGGCCCAAAGCACGGGCAGCUCUCGUGGGCGUUGCAGACCCUCACUGCGGCACCCCGCUGCAAAUUCAUUGCAAAAUGUUUGAGACCGCCGCCGCAAUCCCAUUCCAGACCCCACUGCGCACCCCUCGCCGACCCCGUUGCGAGUCCAUCGCAAAACAGCGCAAACGGAGUUGCGCAGCACUGCGGCCCCCUUUGCAGGGCCACGGCUGCGCAGCACGGCAGGCCCCUUUGUAGGACUCUACCGCGCGACGCUGCGCACGCCAUUGCAGGACCCCACUGCAGGACCUCUCGUAGGACCUCCAACGCACAGC
rnacentral:lncRNA from 1 species